rnacentral:rRNA from 1 species
GACGAACGCUGGCGGCGUGCUUAACACAUGCAAGUCGAGCGGAAAGGCCUGCUUUCCCUUGUGGAUUGCGGGUACUCGAGUGGCGAACGGGUGAGUAACACGUGAGUGAUCUGCCCCCAACUUGGGUAUAAGCCUGGGAAACUGGGUCUAAUUCCCGAUAGGACUGCAGGGUGGUGCCUGUGGUGGAAAACGAUUUUCUAGUGGUUGGGGAUGAGCUCGCGGCCUAUCAGCUUGUUGGUGGGGUAAUGGCCUACCAAGGCGGCGACGGGUAGCCGGCCUGAGAGGGUGGACGGCCACAUUGGGACUGAGAUACGGCCCAGACUCCUACGGGAGGCAGCAGUGGGGAAUAGUGCACAAUGGGCGGAAGCCUGAUGCAGCGACGCCGCGUGGGGGAUGACGGCCUUCGGGUUGUAAACUCCUUUCGACCGCGAGGAAGCCACCUGGUUGGAAGGGUGGUGACGGUAGUGGUAGAAGAAGCACCGGCUAGCUACGUG